GCCCGUGGCCAUGGCCUGCGCAGUGUACAGGUAGUCAAUAAAUUUUGGACAAACUUGACACCUCCUCAAUAAUAUUAGGACCUCGGAUGCAUUUUACUCUAAAAUUUAUUAUAGUUUGACCAACUUUAUUGAAAAUUUUUAGUACCAUCUACAACCAUAAAUUAGUUUUACUAAAAGUCCGACAUUACAUAUCAUAGUACAUACUUAUUUGAUAUCGUACAUAUUAAUAAGUUUUUCUAUAAACUUGAUCAAAUUAUAAGAUGUUUGACUUAUGACGAAGCUGAAACAUCUAUCAUUUAGAAAUGAUGGUAGCAGGUUUUGCCGGGCCAAACAUAAAACAAAAGGUUUGGCAUUGCUGUACAAAAAGAGAAAAAAUAUUUGGCAUCGACCCUACUAAGCCAGUGACAGCUCUCUGGACGACGAUGUUGUCCUACCGCUUGUGUUUGGCCGCCGCCAAAACCGGGUUCGAGACCGUGGUGGGGAAGGGUAGCGGAACUACUUGCGGCUGCGACUGGCUCCCCGCGGCGGUGGAAUCCGUAAGGGGCGUGUCACGGAACUCCAUGCCUCCCCGCAAAAAAAAGCUCCAUGUCAGACUUUUGGCGGUGCAAGGAGGCAUGAUGGAGCUGGGCUGAGUAGAUCAGUGACAGCGGCGGUGCGGAAGCAGCAAGACCGCGGAGCGAAAAUUUCCCUACCGCCAACUAGACUGGCGUGUUUUCAGUAGCCCGUUAAUUCGAACCCGGCCUUGACUAUAUUGAGAUUGUUGGCUCGCGAGUUUAGAUCCCAACAAAAAAAUUCGCAUGGGCCGAUUACACGGGAUCUGUUCGAGUCAGUUUUUACCAACCGAAUCCUUAUUACUAACCGUUAUUUUUUAAUCUCAGUUUUAUCUCCUGGACGUGCUGUUAUCAGGCGACGUAUCCGGUGAAAACUCUUAUUCAGUGCAAACUUGCAAACUUCCAUUCCUAGCCAUCGGAUCUACCACGUGCGGUCUAGUUGAGAGGUGGGAAUCCCUCCCACCACUUAAACGCAGUUUUGCACAAACCCCCCUGCCCAUAUUCCCCACCUUCAUCAGAGAAAGAUAGCGAUUCGCAAAAGAAAGGAAAAGGACGAACCCUCGUUCCCACCCGAUCUGCAGGAUCGUCGGCGACCCACCUGGCCACCCUCUCUCGGGACGGCACCGGCGUCGGCGCCACCCUUCUCCUCGGUCGCCCCCCUUCUCCCCGCGACGUCCUAGCUACGUCCAGGCGCGACGGCGACAACCGCGGUCUGGCGCUGUCCCCACCCUACGGCCGGGCGCGAUGGCGGCCGGCCAGCUCCUGGAUCUCGUUUGCCUGGCGGCGGCCGUGGGCGAGGUUGGUAUGGAUCAGCGACUCGAGAGGCGGAGCCUUGCGGCCGCGUGGUACUGCCCAGGCAACGGAGAACGGGCCACCUGAAUGUGUGCUGCUGUGUGUUUGUUGGGUCACUGUUAACUCAGUUUUGCCGAACCUGUUGCACACCUGAUGCACUGAAAGUUGAUGUUUUGAUGGAACAGGAUCAAGGCAAGAAAUAGUCGAUGUUUUGCUGCAACAUACUUGUUGUUUUGAUGUACCUGAAUUCUUGCUUGAAUGUGAAUGUACAGAAAUAUUUCUCUUUUGUUGUUUUGUUGUUGCUGUACAAUACUGAAGCUGCAAAAUCUAUGAGCCUAAAUUCUAAG
rnacentral:lncRNA from 1 species